GCAUCGGUGGUUCAGUGGUAGAAUGCUCGCCGGUACGCGGGCGGCCCGGGUUCUAUUCCCGGCCGAAGCA